CCUACGGGGUGCAGCAGUGAGGAAUAUUGGUCAAUGGGCGGAAGCCUGAACCAGCCAAGUAGCGUGCAGGAUGACGGCCCUACGGGUUGUAAACUGCUUUUAUACGGGAAUAACGCGCCUUACGUGUAGGGCUUUGCAUGUACCGUAUGAAUAAGGACCGGCUAAUUCCGUGCCAGCCGCAGCGGUAAUACGGAAGGUCCGGGCGUUAUCCGGAUUUAUGGGGUUUAAAGGGAGCGUAGGCCGCAUGUCAAGCGUGCUGUGAAAUGUCCGGGCUCAACCCGGGCCUGGCAGCGCGAACUGGCGUGCUAGAGUCCGCGGAAAGCAGGCGGAAUUCGUCGUGUAGCGGUGAAAUGCUUAGAUAUGACGAAGAACCCCGAUUGCGAAGGCAGCUUGCUGCAGCGGAACUGACGCUGAUGCUCGAAAGCGCGGGUAUCGAACAGGAUUAGAUACCCCUGUAGUC
rnacentral:rRNA from 1 species